CAACCCUGGGAAAAUGGCGUCGUCCGUCGAACAGAGAUUUCAGGCUGCGGUUGAUGUUAUUCGUAAUUUGCCCAAAAAUGGCUCGUAUAAGCCCUCAAAUGAGAUGAUGCUCAAGUUCUACUCAUAUUUCAAGCAGGCAACAGAAGGUCCAUGUAAUAUCCCACGACCAGGAUUCUGGGAAGUAGUUAACAAGGCUAAAUGGGAAGCAUGGCAUUCACUUGGGGACAUGCCACAGGAAACUGCAAUGGAGAAAUACGUUGAAGACUUAAAACAGAUCGUCGAAACGAUGGCCUUUACUGACAAGGUAGCAGAUUUUCUCACUGUUGUUGGCCCCUUCUACAUUGAGGUGCCUCUUGGUGCGGAAGAUGCAUCAGACUCAGAAGAUAAGCUUGGUGUUCCCAUAAGAGAGAGGCUUGGAAAGGCAGAUUUCUUGCCAAUGGCUACGCCGACCCCCAUGCAGGAGACAGAUGAGUACGAUGAGCUAUGCAACGCGACGAUAGUGGACAGGGAGAUGUCCAGGAUGGAGUCUGAUAGUUGCCAUGCAAUGGCGAGCCCUCAUGUUAGCCCGUUGCAACGCGAAAUGGAAAGCAGCCCUGACCUUAGCGAUGACAGUGAUGGCAAGAAGCAGGAUGUGCUAAUUGGUGCAGGUGAACGCGGCACUCGAGUGAACGGUCACCAGUCGGACUCUGAUUCUGAGACAGACUACUGUGAUACACAAUCCGAGCCGGCAGCAGAACAAGAUUGUCAUCCUCCUCAUCAGGAGCAGCAGCAGGUCCUGACGAAAGCUUGUUUGGCAAGUUAUGAAAAUCGUAAUGGUGCAAUCCGUCCAAAUGGAGUGGAAUUGAUGCCGAACGAGAAGCAUUGCAAAAACAAUUCAGAGAGCGACGUUUGGAGUAAGCUAAGCAAAAGUAGAGCAAUUGAUUCUCCUGCGGUGGUGGUGCCAACUAAAUCUUUAAAUGGCAACGCAUUAAGUGUGGGUUCAAGUGCGAGAACGUUUGUGCCUAGCAUGCAUCUGAGUGGAAAGGAACAGGAUCAAGAUUGUUUAUCGUCAUCGGGCGAUGAUCUUUCAAGUGACUCUUCUGUGGCGUCUAGCAUGUCGAAUUCCAUAGAUGGCAGAAGGGCUCGUGCCGUGGAUGUUCGACCGUAUACGGCGCGUGGUGGGAGGAAUGAGGGUGAUGACAGCAGAUGGAGGCGGGGAACCGGAACGGGAGCCCAAAGCUCCGGGCAAGAAACGCCUUCAGCACAGGGUACAAGCCACGCCGGAGAAGCCACAACAGUCCCCUCAUCUUCGUCCGGGGCAGGAGGCGACGGAGGGCGAGGCUCGCGGGGUGCGGGCCGGACACAGGAGGAUGUCGGUGAACAAAUAGCGCUGACGCUGAUCAGGCUGCAGCAGGACAUGGAGAACGUGCUGGCGCGUCUCAGUGCGCUGGAAACGCUCAGCAUCACACAGCACAACUACCUGAUGCACGCCAACAACCACCAGAGUGCGGGAGCGCGGCAGCCGCAGGGUUCGCUGUGGUCGUGGCUUUUUCCGCGGUUACCGGCGAGGACGGUUGUGUUUAUGGUCGGCUGGCCCUUCGCUGCUUUCAUGCUACUCAAGUUCAUUCGGAGUCGGCAGAGAGUAAGGAGACUGAUGUGGGAAUAGUUUUGUGCCAAACAGAGAAAUGGGAAGAGAUGAAGACGCCAGCCAAUAACUGUGUUUUGCUGUACGGAAGUCAAAUUUCGGCCAUGCGAUGUCAGCAAACUUAAAUUAUAAGUUUAAUAUUUCUUUGUCAUCACGUUGGUACGGGUGUUAGUAUGCUAAAAUGUCUGCGAAUAGUGAACUUGUUUGAAACACAUGAAUGGUUUACUUACAAAUCAUUUAGUAAGGAGUUACGUUAAUGUAGAAUGUAAAGUUGUUGUGAGUUGUCAUGAUUAAUGUCGUGCAUGUUGCCAGUUGUUCGGUGAUAUUGGGUUUGAAAUUGUUAUUGCACGUAGACUUCAUAGCCACAUAUGGAGAGUUGAUCAUGGGUUCACAUUGUCAGUCAUAGCAUGGGCGUUUAGAUUAGGCUUGUUGUUUUAUGUUCAUUGUGUUUCGUAUACCUCCUAGUUGCUGCGCAGGCUAGAAAGUGUGAUUUUCCCCUGUCACGAUUGUAUAUGCUGUUUCAUGUAACUUUUGAGAUGAUGUUAUGGUGAUCCACUAUUUUAAUUGUUAAAGAUUUGUAUAAAUUUGUCGAUAUAGUUGUAUAUAAUGUACCAUUAAAUCAAAAUGCACAUAAAAGAGUAUUGUAAAUAAUUUCUGGUUGCAAGGUACAGUAUUACAAACAAAGUAUAAUUGCCCCUAUUAUUUCUAAAUAGAUGUAGCAGAAGAGACAAGUAAUUUUAUGUAGUAUAUUGUAAGUAGUUUUUAUGUCUAGUCUGCCUGGUUUAUUUAUUCAAUCAUAGCCUGAGGGGCACAAAGUUAUGAAAAGAUAAAUUUCAUCUUGUCAGUUAUUUAUGGUGAGGAAGAGAAUAAAAGACAUUCCAACUGA
rnacentral:misc_RNA from 1 species